rnacentral:siRNA from 1 species
GCUCAAGUCAAAUGUGUCUCUUU